GAAAAAUUAGUUUUUAAAAUAUGAAUCUGUCAGGUUCAAGUUAUCUUAUGAUAGAUAUUUUUUG
rnacentral:tRNA from 1 species